rnacentral:misc_RNA from 1 species
GAUGAAGAACGUAGCGAAAUGCGAUAAGUAAUGCGAAUUGCAGAAUUUCCGUGAGUCAUCGAAUCUUUGAACGCACAUUGCGCCCCUUGGUAUUCCGAGGGGCAUGCCUGUUCGAGCGUCAUUAUAACCCUCAAGCUCAGCUUGGUGUUGGGGCCUGCUGCACUGGCAGCCCUUAAAAUCAGUGGCGGCGCCAUCUGGCUCUAAGCGUAGUAAUUCUUCUCGCUAUGGAGUCCUGGUGGAUGCUUGCCAUCAACCCCCAAUUUUUCUAUGGUUGACCUCGGAUCAGGUAGGGAUACCCGCUGAACUUAAGCAUAUCAAUAAGCGGAGGA